CGGACGGGUGAGUAACGCGUAGGAAUCUGGCUAUUAGUGGGGGACAACGUGUGGAAACGCACGCUAAUACCGCAUACGCCCUGAGGGGGAAAGAGGGGGACUUGAAAGAGCCUCUUGCUAAUAGAUGAGCCUGCGUUGGAUUAGCUAGAUGGUGGGGUAAGAGCCUACCAUGGCGACGAUCCAUAGCUGUUCUGAGAGGAAGAUCAGCCACACUGGGACUGAGACACGGCCCAGACUCCUACGGGAGGCAGCAGUGGGGAAUAUUGGACAAUGGGCGGAAGCCUGAUCCAGCAAUACCGCGUGUGUGAAGAAGGCCUUAGGGUUGUAAAGCACUUUCACUGGGGAGGAAUACCUAUUAGUUAAUACCUGAUAGAUUGACAUUACCUAGAGAAGAAGCACCGGCUAACUCCGUGCCAGCAGCCGCGGUAAUACGGAGGGUGCGAGCGUUAAUCGGAAUUACUGGGCGUAAAGCGUGCGUAGGCGGUUA
rnacentral:rRNA from 1 species